GACGAGGGGUCCUAGCGUUGUUCGGAAUCACUGGGCGUAAAGCGUAUGUAGGCGGCUUUUCAAGUCAGGUGUGAAAUCCCAUGGCUUAACCAUGGAACUGCAUUUGAAACUGUAAAGCUUGAGUAUUGGAGAGGAUGGUAGAAUUCCUGGUGUAGUGGUGAAAUACGUAGAUAUCAGGAGGAAUACCGGUGGCGAAGGCGGCCAUCUGGCCAAAUACUGACGCUGAGAUACGAAAGUGUGGGGAGCAAACAGG
rnacentral:rRNA from 1 species